UCAAUAAGCGGAGGAAAAGAAACUAACAAGGAUUCCCCUAGUAACUGCGAGUGAAGCGGGAAAAGCUCAAAUUUAAAAUCUGGCAGCCUCUGGUUGUCCGAGUUGUAGUCUGGAGAAGUGCUUUCCGCGCUGGACCGUGUAUAAGUCUCUUGGAAUAGAGCGUCAUAGAGGGUGAGAAUCCCGUCUUUGACACGGACUACCAGUGCUUUGUGAUGCGCUUUCAAAGAGUCGAGUUGUUUGGGAAUGCAGCUCAAAAUGGGUGGUAAAUUCCAUCUAAAGCUAAAUAUUGGCGAGAGACCGAUAGCGAACAAGUACCGUGAGGGAAAGAUGAAAAGCACUUUGGAAAGAGAGUUAAACAGUACGUGAAAUUGCUGAAAGGGAAACGCUUGAAGUCAGUCGCGUCGUUUGGAACUCAGCCUUGCUUUUGCUUGGUGCACUUUCUGAAUGACGGGCCAGCAUCAAUUUUGACCGUUGGAGAAGGGUGGGAGGAAUGUGGCACUCUUCGGGGUGUGUUAUAGCCUCUUACCGCAUGCAACGGUUGGGAUUGAGGACCGCAGCGCGCCGCAAGGCAGGGGAAUGUUUCCCACUUUCGCGCUUAGGAUGCUGGCAUAAUGGCUUUAAGCGACCCGUCUUGA
rnacentral:rRNA from 1 species